rnacentral:rRNA from 1 species
UUUUAUAAAUUAAAGGUAGUAAUAAUAAAUAUAAACCAUUAAAACUUGGCAGUUAUAAUUUUUUAAAGAAACUUGUUUUAUAAUCGACAAUACUCGUUAAUUUUAACUUAUAUAAUAAUAAUUUAUAUACCGUCGUUAAAGAAAUAAAAAUAAAUAAAUUUCAUAAUAAUAACAUUUUCAAACCUCAGAUCAAGGUGUAAUACAAAUAUAAGUAAAAAUAAGUUACAUAUAAAUAUAAUUUAAGAAAUUUUAAUAAAAAUAAAAAAGAAAAAGAAUUUAAAAAUAAUUUUAAAUUAAAAAUUUUAAAAGAAAUUAUCAAUUAUAAUGC